CAUGCACUUGCUUGCUGCAUGGCAUCUGCUCAGCCGUUUUAAUUUGAGAGAAACAUUACAGCUUUGUGUGUAAAAUAUGAAAUGGUGUUAUACUGCCAUCUAUUGGUGGGUUGGUGCACUGUCAGCAGCCAACAUCACCCUUCAGCCAGAGACGGUUUCUCUGCUUCAGCGAUGUCCUGUCCAUGUCACAUUCAUCAGGUAUCCGAAAGCCAAACACGAGUGGAGGAUGCCAUCUUCUAGCUAGCAUUACAACGAAGAUAAACCUGGUGGUGGCUACUGGCAGACGACUGUGAACCAAAUCUCCACCAUUAUUUGUUGGAGACACUUACUCAGGUGACCAGAAAAUACCCUGACCUUGCUCACAGCGCCUUGGUCCAGUGACACCUGUCAAGAAAGUAGCAGACAAACUGGGCCCAUAUCCUGGAGUAGAUUAUGGAGCAGCAGCACCCAGACCCAAAACAAAGAACUGCAGGAGAUGACACUGGAGGACCAGGUCUGGUCUGCUAGAGUAGCGGAACAGGCAUGGUGUCCCAUCUCCAGCAGGAACACCUGGGAUACCUGUGGGAACUGCUCAGACAUGCCGACCAGGAGAGGAAGUGCUGCGGUCCGGACCCACCAGCUCACUUUUUUAAACAAAGUCAUUACUUGUAAAUAAAUGUAAAGCUUACACAUUCAAUUGGUUUAGGCACAGAGUUUUACGGGGU